UACAGAGGUCCCAAGCGUUGUUCGGAUUCAUUGGGCGUAAAGGGUGCGUAGGCGGCGCGGUAAGUCGGGUGUGAAAUCUCGGGGCUUAACUCCGAAACUGCAUUCGAUACUGCCGUGCUUGAGGACUGGAGAGGAGACUGGAAUUUACGGUGUAGCGGUGAAAUGCGUAGAUAUCGUAAGGAAGACCAGUGGCGAAGGCGGGUCUCUGGACAGUUCCUGACGCUGAGGCACGAAGGCCAGGGGAGCAAAACGGGG
rnacentral:rRNA from 1 species